rnacentral:rRNA from 1 species
UACGUAGGUGGCGAGCGUUAUCCGGAAUUACUGGGCGUAAAGCGCACGCAGGCGGCCAUUUAAGUCUGACGUGAAAGCUCCCGGCUUAACUGGGAGAGGUCGUUGGAGACUGGGUGGCUUGAGACAAUGAGAGGGGUGUAGAAUUCCUGGUGUAGUGGUGGAAUGCGUAGAUAUCAGGAGGAAUACCAGUGGCGAAAGCGGCACCCUGGCAUUGGUCUGACGCUCAUGUGCGAAAGCGUGGGGAGCGAAC